rnacentral:rRNA from 1 species
GAUUAAGUGUCGUAAGGGCAUUUGGUGGAUGCCUUGGCAUGCACAGGCGAUGAAGGACGUGAUACGCUGCGAAAAGCCGUGGGGAGCUGCGAAUAAGCUUUGAUCCAUGGAUCUCCGAAUGGGGAAACCCACCUUAAAUGCUUGGAAAAUCAUUCUGGUUGUUGGAUCUUCGAUCCAACGUUACGGCGAACGAUCGCCGACGGACUAACGUCCUGUAUGGGAACUUCCUGUACAGCGCGGUAGCGCGUCGCCGGUCGUCCGGCGUUAGAAACCCGAAUGGUUUCCAAGCAUUGUGAUAAGGUAUCUGCACCUGAAUAAAAUAGGGUGUAAGAAGCGAACGCAGGGAACUGAAACAUCUAAGUACCUGCAGGAAAGGA